UUUUCGUUGCCAAUCCUUGGACUGUUGAUAUCUUGAAAGGGGGACCCCAAGGAGGCUGGCUUAGGGGACAGGAUGCUGGAAAAAGACACAGUCAAUUCCAGACUGGAUAUUUAUGCAAACCCAUCUGGGCUCAUAGAUAGGUUAUGCUGAAGAGAUAACUCACUGCAAAGCUUAGCCACACUAGAAAGACAAACUAUGUGAUCAGAAGAUUGGGGCUUUGGGAGUUCCCGUUGUGGUGCAGCGGAAAUGAAUCCAACUAGGAACCAUGAGAUUGCAGGUUUGAUCCCUGGCCUCACUCAGUGGGUUAAAGAUCUGGUGUUGCCCUGAGCUGUGGUGUAGGUCGCAGAUGUGGCUUGGCUCUAGUGUUGCUGUGGCUGUGGUGCACGUCAGCAGCUGUAGCUCCAAUUCGACCCCUAGCCUGGGAGUCUCCAUAUGCUGUGGAUACAGCCCUAAAGAGAAAGGAAAAAAUAAAUAAAUAAAAAGGUUGGGCUUUGAGCCAUAAGAUAAAAGCCAGAGCUCCAGAAACAGGUAGAAGGCAGGAGACUGAGUCAUCUAGGCACUGAUCCAAUCAGUUAUGGUUAUGAAAUGAAAUUCUUAAGCUGGCAAUACUGCACGCAUAUACUGCCAUACGUCAAUGCCAGGAGGCUAACUUGCCCUUGAGGACAUGGUAGCUCAUGUCUGGAAACCCUCCAAAAUCUGCUUGUGAAAAACAUCUGAUGCAAACCACUGGACAAAGACUUUACAACAACCAUUCUUUUAAGCCACCCCAUGGCACACGGAGUUCCUGGGCCAGGGAAUGGAUCUGGGCCACAGUUGCAACCUAAGCCACAGUUGCGACAAUGCCAGACCCAGAACCCACUGUGCUGGGCUGGGGAUCAAACCCGUGUCCCAGUGCUCCAAAGACAAUGCCAAUUCCAUUGUACCACAGUGGGAACUUCCCUUUUCUUCUUUUGGCCACACUUCACAACACGGGGAAGCUCUUGGGCCAGGGAUCAAAUCUGUGCCAUAGCAGCAACUUGACCACUGCAGUGACAAUGCUGGAUCCUUAACCCACUGUGCCACAAGGGAACUCCCUACAACAGUCAUCUUAAAUUAGUUCAAGCAACGAAAGGAAGACAUGGAGGAAGUCAAGAAAACUAAGUAUAAAUGAAAUGGAAAGAUCAAUACAAAGAUAUAAAACCUAAAAAGUAAAAAGGAAUUCAGGGGCAAAAAGUACAAUAACUAAAAAAGGUCACAGCAAGCAUGAAGCAACUUGUCAAAUACAAGGGGAGAAAAGAUUUCUCAUCAUAAACUUGGGAGUCCAGAAAGUAGUGGUGCAAUAUAUUCAAACAUAACACAAACAAAAAGUGUCAAGCAAGAAUCCUGUAUCUGGUAAAACUAUUCUUCAAGAACAAGGAUGAAAGUGCCCAUCGGAGCUCAGUGAAAGCGAUUCUGACUAGUGUCCAUGAGGACACAGGUUCGAUCCCUGGCCUCGCUCAGUGGGUUAAGGAUCCAUGUUGCCGUGAGCUGUGGUAUAGGUCGCAGAUGCGGCUCAGAUCCUGUGUUGCUUCGGCUGGUGUAGGUUGCGGACGUGGCUCAGAUCCUGUGUUGCUGUGGCUGUGGUGUAGGCUGGCAGCAACAGUUCCAAUUAGACCCCUAGCCCAGGAACCUCCAUGUGCCAUGGGUGCAGCCCUAAAAAGGACGAAAGACAAAAAAAAAAAAAAAAUUUACUAAAAUCAAAGAUGAGGGAGGUCCUUUGUGGCUGAGUAGGUUAAGGACUCAGCACUGUCACUGCAGCAGCUUGGGUUGCUGCUGUGGUGCAGAUCUAAUCCCUGGCCUGGGAACUUCAAAAUGCUGCAGCAAAAAAAAAAAAAAAAAAAAAAAAAAAAAAAAAAAAAACCAUGAAAGUAGGGGCAUUACUGUUCAUUCUACAGAAAUAACAAUAUUUCAUAAGGGAACACUAUGAAGAACUAUACCCCAACAAAUUGGAAAACCUAGAUGAAAUGGACAUAUUCCUAGAAACACAAACUGGAGCUCCCGUCGUGGCUCAGCAGUUAGUGAACCUGACUAGCAUCCAUGAGGAUGGAGGUCUGAUCUCUGGCCUCACUCAGUGGGUUAAGGAUUUGGCAUUGCCGUGAGCUGUGGUAUAGGUCACAGGUGCGGCUCUGAUCCUAAGUUGCUGUGGCAUAGGCCGGCGGUUACAGCUCCGAUUGGAUCCCUAGCCUGNCCCCCAAAAAAAAAAAAAUCAAAAAAAAAAAAAAAAAAAAAAAAGAAACACAAAACCUAUGAAGACUAAAUCACAGAGAAAUAUAAAAUUUGAAUAGACCUAUAACGAGAAAGACUGAAUUCAUAAUCAAAAUCCCCCAUUACAGAAAAAUCCUGGGGAGUUCCCAUUGUGGCACAGUGGUAAUGAACCCAACUAGUAACCAUGAGGAUGUAGGUUUAAUCCCUGGCCUCAAUCAAUCGGUUAGGUAUCCGGAAUUGCCAUGUGCUGUGGUGUACAUGCAGAUGUAUGUACAAUGAGACACCAACAUCCAAUGCUUUCACUGACAUGUGGAAUCUGAAAAAACGACAGACUGAACUUCUUUGCAGAACAGAUGCUGACUCACAGACAUUGAAAAACUUAUGGUCUCCGGAGGAGACAGUUUGGGGGGUGGGGGGAUGUGCUUGGGCUGUGGGAUGGGAAUCCUGUGAAACUGGAUUGUUAUGAUCAUUAUACAACUAGAUGUGAUCAAUUCAUUUGAGAAAUAAAAAAAAAAAAAGAAAAAAAAAGAAAUCUAUUUCUUGCCUAUCACUUUGUCUCUCGAUGAAGUCCUUUCGUGCAGAGGCAUAAAGAACCUGAACCUCAGUGACUCCAGACAUCGGAAAAUACUCUGAGCUCCAUGUCCUUGGAACGGUUUUGCAGGUGCUGAAGCCCCAGCAGGCAGAAGUCAACUGUGUGCUGCCCACAAGCAUGUAGACCCCAGACCAAUCAGAACCAGGAGUUUGAUGAUGCUGACUCCCAAUUACCUCAUCACCCACCAAUCAGGAAAAUGUUCAAGAGCUGAUCAUGCCCUGCUCCUCAAACACUAGAAGAUUCCUCACUACCCCCUCCAUUGGGGGCACAGUCCUUGGGGCACUAGCCUGCUGUGUUCCCCUCUUUGCCUGGCAAUUAAAGCUACUUUUCUACUUUCUCCAAAAAAAACAAACAAACAAAAACAAAAAACAAAAAACACCACAAACCAGGAAUGUAAGGAAACUACCCAAAUAAAAUAAAAGCCAUAUAAGGAGUUUCCAUCAUGGCGCAGCGGAAACGAAUCCAACUAGGAACCAUGAGGUUGUGGGUUCGAUCCCUGGUCUCACUCAGUGGGUUGGGGAUCUGGCGUUGCUGUAAGCUGUGGCGUAGGCUGGCAGCAACAGCUCCUAUUCCACCCCUAGCCUGGGAACGUCCAUAUGCCAUGGGUGUGAACCUAAAAAGACAAAAGACAAAAAUAAAUAAAUAAAUAAAAACCCAUAUAUAACAAAAAACCACAGCAAAGAGCAUACUCCAUAGUGAAAGUUGGAAAGCUUUUCCUCCAAGUUCGGGAAAGGUUAAGGGCAUCCAUUUUCACCACUUCUAUUCAACACAAUAGUCGAAGUUGUGGACAGAGCAACAGAAAGAAAUCAAAAAGCACCCACGUUGGAAAGGAAGAGGUAAAACUGUUUUUGCUUAGAGAUGAUAGUUUCUUGUAUGUAAAAACCAUAAAGAAACCACAAAAUAACUGUUAGAAUAAAUGAGUUCAUCAAAGUAGCAGGAUACGAGAUCAAUCAAUACACAAAAAUAAGCUGCAUUUAUAUACACGAACAAUGAACAAUUCAAAAAUGAAAUUAUAAUUCCAUUUACAGUAGCAUGAAAAACAAUAAAACACUUAGGAAGCGGCCCAAGAGAUAGCAACAACAACAACAAAAAGACAAAAAAAAAAAAAAAACAAAAAAAACUGACUACAAAACUACAGUAAUUUUUUCUUUUUUUUUUUGGUCUUUUUGCCUUUUCUAGGGCUGCUCCCGUGGCAUAUGGAGGUUCCCAGGCUACGGGUCGAAUCGGAGCUGUAGCCACCGGCCUAUACCACAGCCACAGCAACGCAGGAUCCAAACUGCAUCUGCAGUCUACACCACAGCUCACGGCAAUGCUGGAUCCUUAACCCACUGAGCAAGGCCAGGGAUCGAACCCAAAACCUCAUGGGUCCUAGUUGGAUUUGUUAACCACUGCGCCAUGACGGGAACUCUGAAACUACAGUAAUCUAAAAUCAGAUAAAUAGAUCAAGGGAAUCAAGAGCCCGGUAACAUAAAACUCAACAGCAACAACACAAACAACCCAAUUGACAAAUGGGCAGAAGACCUAAAUGGACAUUUCUCCAAAAAAACAUACAGAUGGCCAACAGGCACAUGAAAAAAUGCUCCACAUCACUAAUUAUUAGAGAAAUGCAAAUCAAAACUCCAAUGAGGUAUCACCUCACCUUGGUCAGAAUGGCCUUCAUGAGCAAGUCUCAAAUAACAAAUACUGGAGGGGGUGUGGAGAAAAGGGACCCCUUCUGCACUGUUGGUAGGAAUGUAAAUUGGUACAACCACUAUCAAAAACAGUAUGGAGGUACCUCAGAAAACAAAAUUUAGAACUUUGUAUGAGCCAGCAAUCCCACUCCUGGGCAUCUAUCUGGACAAAACUCUAGUUCAAAAAGAUACAUAUAUCCCUAUGUUCAUUGCAGCACCAUUCACAAUGGCCGAGACAAGGAAGCAACUUAAACAUUGAUAGAUGAGUGGAUUAAGAAAAUGUGGCACAGGAGUUCCUGUUGCGGCACAGCAGAAACAAAUCCAGCUGGUAUCCAUGAGGAUGCUGGUUCAAUCCCUGGCCUCACUCAGUAGGCUGGGCAUCUGGUGUGGCUGUGGUAUAGGCCGGCAGCUGUACCUCCCAUUCAACCCCUAGACUGGGAACCUCCACAUGCUGCGGGUGCAGUCCUAAAAAGCAAAAAAAAGAAAAAAAAAAAAAGAUGUGAUACAUACAUACACUGGAAUACUAUUCAGCCAUAAUAAAGAAAAUGCUGGAGUUCCCAUCGUGGUGCAGUGGAAACGAAUCUGAAUAGGAACCAUGACGUUGAAGAUUCGAUCCUGGCCUCACUCAGUGGGUUAAGGAUUCGGCGUUGCUGUGAGCUGCAGCAUAGGUCACAGAUGUGGCUCGGAUCUGGCAUUGCUGUGGCUGUGGUGUAGGCCGGCAGCUGUAGCUCCAAUUAGACCCCUAGCUUGGGAACCUCCAUAUGCAGUGAGUGCGGCCCUAAAAGGCAGACACACAUGAAAAAGAAAAUGCCAUUUGCAGCAACAUGGAUGGAACUAGAGAUUCUCAAACUAAGUGAAGUCAGAAAGAGAAAAAAAUUAGCAUAUGGUUAUCACUUAUAUCUGGAAUCUAGUAUAUGGCACAAAUGAACCCAUCUACAGAACAGAAACAAACUCAUGGACAUGGAGAACAGACUUGUGGUUGCCAAGGGGUAAGGGGAGGGAGAGGGAUGGGCUGUGAGUUUGGGGUUAGUUGAUGCAAACUCUUGCCUUUGAAGUGGAUAAGCAAUGAGGUCCUGCUGCAUAGAACAGGGAACGAUAUCUAAUCUCUGGUAAUGGAACAUGAUGGAGGCUACUGUGAGAAAAAGACUGCAUAUAUAUGUGUGACCGGGUCACUCUGUUGUACAGUACAUUGUAAACCAACUGUAAUAAAAAAAAUUCUAACAAAAACCUAGUAACGAACCCUUACAUGUAUCAUCAAAUAAUUCUGACAAGGACGCCAAGACCAUCCAAUAGGGGAAACGACAGCAUUUACAAUAAACAGUGCUGGGAAAACUGAAUACCUAAAAGCAAAGGAAUUAAAUAGGACGCUUAUCUAAUAUCAUAAACAAACAUUAGCUCAAAAUGGAUCAAAGAUCUAAAACUACAAACUUCAAAGAAGAAAACAGAGGGCAAAAUCAGCAUGGCAGUGGAUGUGGCAAAGAUUUCUUAGGUAUGACACCAAAGGCACAGGCAACAAAAGAAAAAAACAGAAAAACUGUAAUUCAUAAAUAAAAAUUUGUGCAUCAAGGAGGUCUAUCAUGGCUCAAUGGUAUUGAACCUGACAAGUAUCCAUGAGGAUGCAGGUUCCAUCCCUGGCCGCGCUCAGUGGGUUAAGGAUCUGGCACUGCCACGAGCUACAGUGCAUGUCACAGACUCGGCUCAGAUCCUGCCUCGCUGCGGCUGUGGGGUAGGCUGGCAGCUACAGCUCCAAAUGGAGUCCUAGCCUGGGGAACUUCCACAUGCCGCAAGUGCAGCCCUAAAAAAGCAAAAAAAAAAAAAAAAAAAAAAAA
rnacentral:lncRNA from 1 species